rnacentral:rRNA from 1 species
UAUCGCGUAGGGAUUUAUCGUUGGGUGGGGGAGUAAACCCGUGGGGGAACUGCGGCUAAUACCGCAUGACGCCUGUGGGCCAAAGCCUGUGAGGGUGCCUGAUGAGGAGCCUGCGUCCGAUUAGCUAGUAGGUUGGGUAAUGGCUGACCUAGGCUGUGAUCGGUAGCUGGUCUGAGAGGAUGAUCAGCCACACUGGGACUGAGACACGGCCCAG